rnacentral:rRNA from 1 species
GGUGGGGAUGACGUCAAGUCCUCAUGGCCCUUAUGGGUAGGGCUUCACACGUCAUACAAUGGUCGGUACAGAGGGUUGCCAAGCCGCGAGGUGGAGCCAAUCCCUUAAAGCCGAUCGUAGUCCGGAUCGUAGUCUGCAACUCGACUACGUGAAGUCGGAAUCGCUGGUAAUCGCAGAUACAGCAUGCUGCGGUGAAUACGUUCCCGGGUCUU